GGGUUGGUGUGGGUGUGGAGGUGUGGGGUGGGGGGGAAUGUUAUGGAAGAAGAAGAGUUUUGGACGUUGGGGGCGACUGGUGGGAUGGUGAUGGGGUUGGGAUUAGAUAAUUAUUUUUUUAUUUUUCUUUUGUUUAAUUUAUUUAUUUAAAUAUAAGGUUAAAAUUGUAAUUUACUCUUUAAUAUAUAUUUGUAUAUUUUGUAUCAAACAAUAAUAUUAGUUAUCUAGAUUUUAAUCUUGAUCUAUCAAACACUAUAAAUACAUUACUAAUCUCACCCAAUCCAUAUUAUUUUAACUAGGUUUUAUUUAUCACUCUUUAUC
rnacentral:lncRNA from 1 species